rnacentral:rRNA from 1 species
AUGAAGCACCCGGUGACGAAGACACAGUUGUGGUUGGGGACGUACUCUUCCCUCGAGGUCACCGCGUGCGCCUACGACCUCGCGGCUAGGAAGAUGAAGGGCAUAAAGGCAAAGCUCAACUUCCCCUACCCUCCGCCGGCUAGACUGGUUAAGGAGGUGAUCGCUGCACCGAGGCACCGCAGCCAUGGUCACGACACACCACUCUUUGAAGUCGUUAUAAGGGAAUCAUGGAACAUCUCAACCAGCCCACUUGUUUCAGUAGGCAUUGUUGCUAUUUUUAUGAGUAAGGAAGCUUUCAUGUGA